UACAUGUGGGGCAAGCGUUGUUCGGAAUUACUGGGCGUAGAGGGUGCGUAGGCGGCAUGCCAAGUCAGGGGUGAAAGGUUUCGGCCCAACCGGGACAGUGCCUUUGAUACUGGCGUGCUUGAGUGCGUGAGGGGUGACUGGAACGAGUGGUGUAGCGGUGAAAUGCGUAGAUAUCACUCGGAAGGCCAACGGCGAAGGCAGGUCACUGGUACGCAACUGACACUGAGGCACGAAAGCGUGGGGAGCAAACAGG
rnacentral:rRNA from 1 species